GAUGAACGCUGGCGGCGUGCCUAAUACAUGCAAGUCGAGCGAGCGGACGAGAAGCUUGCUUCUCUGAUGUUAGCGGCGGACGGGUGAGUAACACGUGGAUAACCUACCUAUAAGACUGGGAUAACUUCGGGAAACCGGAGCUAAUACCGGAUAAUAUUUUGAACCGCAUGGUUCAAAAGUGAAAGACGGUCUUGCUGUCACUUAUAGAUGGAUCCGCGCUGCAUUAGCUAGUUGGUAAGGUAACGGCUUACCAAGGCAACGAUGCAUAGCCGACCUGAGAGGGUGAUCGGCCACACUGGAACUGAGACACGGUCCAGACUCCUACGGGAGGCAGCAGUAGGGAAUCUUCCGCAAUGGGCGAAAGCCUGACGGAGCAACGCCGCGUGAGUGAUGAAGGUCUUCGGAUCGUAAAACCCUGUUAUUAGGGAAGAACAUAUGUGUAAGUAACUGUGCACAUCUUGACGGUACCUAAUCAGAAAGCCACGGCUAACUACGUG
rnacentral:rRNA from 1 species